GGUUACCUUGUUACGACUUCACCCCAGUUGCUGAUCGUACCGUAGUCAAAGGUAUAAGCUUUGCCUUAAGGUGUAACCAACUUCCAUGGUGUGACGGGCGGUGUGUACAAUACCCGGGGAACGUAUCACCGCGGCGCGCUGAUCCGCGAUUACUAGCAAUUCCAGCUUCAUGCACUCGAGUUACAGAGUACAAUCCGAACUGAGGUACAUUUUAGAGAUUGGCUAGGACUUGCAUCUUUGCUUCUCAUUGUAAGUUACCAUUGUAGCACGUGUGUAGCCCAACACAUAAAGGGCCAUGAAGGACUUGACGUCAUCCCCACCUUCCUCCAGCUUAUCCACUGGCAGUUCUUUUAAAGUUGCCCAACUAAAUGGUGGCAACUAAAAAUUAGGGGUUGCGCUCGUUUGCGGGGACUUAACCCAACAUCUCACGAACACGAAGCUGAACGAA
rnacentral:rRNA from 1 species